ensembl:lncRNA
CCUCUGUCAGGAUGGUCUUGCCGAAAAAUGCCUCUUCACUGGGAAGGUACGACAUAGCCUUCACCUGCAUCGCUAUGACUCUGGCCACUCCCUGCCUGACACCACCAAGUGUCUGGGCCCCGACUGGCCAACAUUCUGUAUUGAUUGCAAUGCGUUUCUCCUCCUCAGACUGGCUUGGAAAGUCGAAUGGCGGAUUCUUUAUCUGCUGAGCCAUCAGCCGAGAUGUCUGCUGAGCAGAAUCAUUUUCUUCUGCCAUGUGGAUUGAAAUCCAGCUCAGUGGCAGAUUUUCCUCGUGUUGAAAGGGAACCUCUGGUCAAAAGUCAGCAGCCGCGCUGCAGAAAGCUUUGAUAGUCAGUGAAGUGGAUCACGGCAUGCGCGGAUGGAGCCUCUCGCUGCGCGGGCGGACCUCCCUCCAAGAGCGACCCCUGGUCAUCAGUCAUCGGGGCCCCCAUCGCCUUCUGCGCAGCCGAUGGUUUCACCAGAUCCACGGGGCCUGGGUCCCAAGCUGCCCUUUUCCACAGGUAUUGCUAAAGCAAAUAGCAGACGGUAUUUACUGGGUGUGAUGCUUUCAAUCACAUUAAUCUAGCCAGUAAAAAAAUUUAUGACCAAUAAAAAUUCCACCAUGACAUGGC